AAACAGGAUUUUUUUAAAUCCAAUAAUUCUAACAAAAAAUUAUAUU
rfam:Macaca mulatta chromosome 5, whole genome shotgun sequence.